rnacentral:rRNA from 1 species
AAUCAACGCUGGCGGCGCGCUUAACACAUGCAAGUCGAACGAGAAAGGGAGCAAUCCUGAGUAAAGUGGCGCACGGGUGAGUAACACGUGGGUAAUCUACCCUCUGGUGGGGAAUAACUC